GAGUUUGAUCCUGGCUCAGAAUGAACGCUGGCGGCGUGCCUAACACAUGCAAGUCGAGCGCGAAAGUCUCUUCGGAGAUGAGUAAAGCGGCGGACGGGUGAGUAACACGUGAGAACUUGCCUUUUGGUGGAGAAUACCUUCGAGAAAUUGAGGUUAAUACUGCAUAAGUCCCUCCGGGGAGAAAGAUGGCUUUAUGCUGUCGCCAAAAGAUAGGCUUGCGGACUAUUAGCUAGUUGGUAGGGUAAAGGCCUACCAAGGCAAUGAUGGUUAACCGGCCUGAGAGGGUGAACGGUCACAUUGGAACUGAGACACGGUCCAAACUCCUACGGGAGGCAGCAGUGAGGAAUAUUGCGCAAUGGGCGAAAGCCUGACGCAGCGACGCCACGUGAAGGAUGAAGGUCUUCGGAUCGUAAACUUCUGUUGAGUGGGAAGAAAGUCUGAUUUCUGG
rnacentral:rRNA from 1 species